rnacentral:rRNA from 1 species
ACGGAGGGUGCAAGCGUUAUCCGGAAUCACUGGGUUUAAAGGGUGCGUAGGCGGCGAUAUAAGUCAGAAGUGAAAUGUUACAGCUUAACUGUGAAAGUGCUUUUGAAACUGUAUUGCUUGAAUCAGGAUGAGGUAAGCGGAAUGAGUCAUGUAGCGGUGAAAUGCAUAGAUAUGACUUAGAACACCAAUUGCGAAGGCAGCUUACUGGCCCUGUAUUGACGCUGAGGCACGAAAGCGUGGGGAGCGAACAGG